UAGCUUCACUCUUAAUAAGAAAAACGUGUGUUAAACCCACAAGGAGCAGGCACUUUAUCAAACUGGCAGUUACACAGCUGAGGGCGUGGAGAAGCAUUCACACUCUGCUGGUGGGAUUAAAACCCAGUUUAACACCUCUGGAAAGGAAUCUGACCAUACCUCCCAAAAUUAGGAACACAUUCAUCCCACUGAAACAAAAUGCCUUCACUGAAAGACUUGACAGAGAAGCAGAGUGGCAUUGCCAAGUGAGUUUGAAAAAGGAGAGGAAAAAAAGGAAUGAGAUUGAAAACAGAUUAUUGGGGAGAAAAGUAUUUCAGACUCGAGACAACUGUCUCUAUAGCCUCUGGCCCCUGUCCCACUCAUUCCCCUGCCCUGACGCAAGGCUGGCAGGAAGAAGGUGUUUCUCCUGGGAUUGUUCAAACCGAGGACCAAACCCUGCCUGAGGCUUAACUAUCUGCACAGGCUGGCAGCAUGCCUGAGGCCAGCUAAGCGGUCUCCAUGCUCCUUGAACUCUCCGCUCGAGAUACAAACCCUUCUGUUCAGAGAGGUGGACUCACCUGUCCAGGGGACCAGCCUAGGUAGCCGUGGAAUUGAGAUGCUAAAGUUUGGCCUCUUAUGACCAUUAUAUUCCCCUCUGCAUGGAGAGGAAGGAGAAGCAGCCUGAACAACCUUGCCCCAGCCCACCAGGCCCCAAGGGCCUUCACACCUUAGAUUCCGUGUGCUAAAAGUCCCUGAGCACAGGAUUCUAAGGAACCCAAUUUAAUGAUAUUAACCCCACCUGACAGGUGGGAAAUCUGAGGCUCAAGGAAGUGAAGAUCCAGGAUGCACUUUGAACCAGCUCCGGUUGAGUAUCUCCUAUGUACCAGACAUUGUGUCAGGUGUUAAAUAUAUUCUCCCAUUCGAUUCA